UACGUAGGCAGCGAGCGUUGUUCGGAGUUACUGGGCGUAAAGGGUGUGUAGGCGGUUGUUUAAGUUUGGUGUGAAAUCUCCCGGCUCAACUGGGAGGGUGCGCCGAAUACUGAAUGACUCGAGUGUGGGAGAGGUGAGUGGAAUUCCUGGUGUAGCGGUGAAAUGCGUAGAUAUCAAGGAGGAACACCGGUGGUGUAGACGGCGUCAUGGACCAUAACUGACGCUGAGACACGAAAGCGUGGGUAGCAAACAGGA
rnacentral:rRNA from 1 species